rnacentral:rRNA from 1 species
GACGAACGCUGGCGGCGUGCUUAACACAUGCAAGUCGAACGGAAAGGCCCUGCUUUUGUGGGAUGCUCGAGUGGCGAACGGGUGAGUAACACGUGAGUAACCUGCCCUUGACUUUGGGAUAACUUCAGGAAACUGGGGCUAAUAUCGGAUAGGAGCUCCUUCUGCAUGGGGUGGGUUGGAAAGUUUCGGCGUUUGGGGAUGGACUCGCGGCUUAUCAGCUUGUUGGUGGGGUAGUGGCUUACCAGGGCUUUGACGGGUAGCCGGCCUGAGAGGGUGACCGGCCACAUUGGGACUGAGAUACGGCCCAGACUCCUACGGGAGGCAGCAGUGGGGAAUAUUGCACAAUGGGCGGAAGCCUGAUGCAGCAACGCCGCGUGCGGGAUGACGGCCUUCGGGUUGUAAACCGCUUUCGCCUGUGACGAAGCGUGAGUGACGGUAAUGGGUAAAGAAGCACCGGCUAACUACGUG